rnacentral:lncRNA from 1 species
GUAUUUUUGGUCAUACCGAUUUAAACAUUAAUCAACUUUUAACCUUCGUAGAGCACAAUCGAUCUCGCGCACAAAAUCCAGCCCUAAUGUUAAAACACUCCUGCUGUAAAACAUCCACCUUUCAGGCAUCGUUUUUUAAUAGAAUAGUAAAGCCUUGGAACUAUAUAUGUAAAAUAGCCUCUCCAGAAAAGUUUGCCAAUGUAAAUAUUUUUAAAAGCUUUUUGCACAAGACAUACACCGCCUUGGUGAACAGUACUUUUAAUGUAGAUAUGACAUGUACUUGGUCGCUCAUAAGAGACUGCCCUUGUCACCGUGCUUAAGUCUUAAGUUAUAUAUGUAUAUAUUCUGUAUAGUAAAUAAGUUUGUUUUCACUAGUUUAGUUUAGGGGUGGCGCCCUGCAUGGGUCUCGUUGUCCCGUUUGCGCUAGCCCCAUUGGACGUAUACCCUGU